rnacentral:tRNA from 1 species
ACCUGACUGGCUCAUUCUGUAGAGCAUGUGACUCUUGAUCUCAAGGCUGGAGGUUCAAGCCCCAUGCUGGGUG